rnacentral:piRNA from 1 species
UCCAAACCCUACGAGGAUGGGAACAAGAU